rnacentral:rRNA from 1 species
UACGUAGGGUGCAAGCGUUUGUCCGGAAUUAUUGGGCGUAAAGAGCUCGUAGGCGGUCUGUCGCGUCGGGAAGUGAAACUCAGGGCUUAACCCUGAGCCUGCUUCCGAUACGGGCAGACUAGAGGUAUGCAGGGGAGAACGGAAUUCCUGGUGUAGCGGUGAAAUGCGCAGAUAUCAGGAGGAACACCGGUGGCGAAGGCGGAUCUCUGGGCCUGUCCUGACGCUGAGGCGCGGAAAGCUAGGGGGAGCGAACAGG